rnacentral:rRNA from 1 species
UACGGGGGGGUAAGCGUUGUUCGGAAUUACUGGCGUAAAGAGCUCGUAGGCGGUCUGUCGCGUCUGUUGUGAAAACUCAGGGCUUAACCCUGAGCCUUGCAGUGGGUACGGGCAGACUAGAGUGCGGUAGGGGAGACUGGAAUCCUGGUCGUAGCGGUGAAAUGGCGACAGAGUAUCAGAGGAACGAGCCGCUGGCGGAAGGCGGGUCUCUGGGCCGAACUGACGCUGAGAGCGAAGCAUGGGGAGCGAACAGG